AUGAACUUUAAUUUCAAACUGGAAAUAUAUUCUCUCUACUACUCAAGUGCACAGUGCCUAAACGCCUAACUCCAGAAGCAGUCACACUCCAGAACUGGGGCCUGUGACCCCUUUACAAGGGCCAGUGUUCCUUCGGCUUCUCUAAAUUCCUCCACGCUUGUAUACAACAGCUCCUUAAAAAGCUAUCCUGACAGAGGAAGCAGUGCUGCCUCCGACACCACUUAAAAAUGCCAGGUGAACAGAUGGCAGUCCCAUCAGCACAUGAGUUGUUUUAGAGAAAAAGCGUACUCUUUAAACACUCUGGUUAAUGGAUGAGGAGACAAGAGCAGCAAUUAGUUAUUCAUUCUGUUUAUUGGGUUGAAAGGGAGUACAAACGAUUGGGUAAGUGCUACGCACUGACAUGGAAAAGGUGUUGUAUUAAAAAAAAAUCCCAGGAAAGCAAAUCAAAGUUAAUGUGGUUUCAGUUGAACAAAAUUUUAAAGACGUUUAAUAUACUACACAUUUAUAAAAUAAAAGUUAACAAAGAGUGUUUUGUAAAUAAUUAGUAGAACAAGUGAAAAUAAAUAUCAGAGACCUGAAGUUUUUUAUGCUUUAAUGAAAUAAUAAAGCAAAGAAAUUUAAACUACUAAAUAUAAUCUGAGAGGCAGUUAAAAAAAAAACAAAAACAAAACCCCCCAAAAUUUAAGAACACAAUCCUUUGAAACAUUUAGUCAGUCCAUAGCAAAUAGUUAUUACAUACCAAAAGCUCUAAGCGUUAACUAGUUCACCACAAUGCCAUGUAAAUCUUGACAAUUUAGAAACGUUGAGAUCAACACUGUAGUUCUUCUCUUGAUCUCUACAGCUUGGUUUGUAAGUACACACAUGCUUCUGUGGAUCUGUUCCCCUCGCCACACACACACAUUCUCAAGGAGCCAAUAACAUUUUUUCCAUUUGUGCCUAAAAAUGUUACGAUUCGGUUUUAGCACAUUGACCCUGAUAAUGAAAAUGUUUAAGUUAAAGAUGGGGGACACAAUUUCAAUCUUAUAAAAAUAUACCAGUAUUAACCAAACCUUGAAUUCAGAGAGGGUAUUUCACACGUGUACGAGACUUUUACUAAAAUUGACAAGAACCCAGCACAGCUGUUUCCAGGGCUUUUUAGGAAUCGAGUACUCUCUCUUCCACACAGACACACAACACGCACGCACACAUAUUCGUUUCAUUAAAUCCAGGCUACCUGGAUUAAGGGGACAAGGGACGGGGUUUUAUAGUUUUUGUUUUUGCAACUAUAGGGCAGCUACUAUAACAAGAGCUUAACAACACUGAAAAAUUUCCAUUAAGUUCACCCUGUUUUUAGAAAGUGUCUAAAGUGUAAAUGCAAAUUCACCUCUUCUUUCAAAGUUAGCAGUUUAUAUUAAAUCAGAUGGUUUUUGAAAUGGAAGUAAUAUUUUAGAGAGCAACCCCAAAAGAGUUGCAAGUCUCAAUGAGAAAUUAACGUAAAACUAAAUCAAGAUAUUUAUACAUUUUAGAGAUGGGACAAAAAGGAUAUUAAGAAAAAUGUCUUCUUUCCUCCCCAUUCAAAAGCAGCCAUUCUUCUGCUGUGAAGGAAAUAUCCAUGUCAGAUAUUUCCCUUUCAAGAGAUGUACGAUAUAUUUACCACUGUGAGCAGAGGUGAUAGGGUCAGUUCUUGUGUGCAGGAACCAACAUCCUAAAAAAGAAAAUUUGAAGAUGGGGAGGGGUGGGAAAGAAGGGUUUUCUAUUAAUGCCAUGGAAUGCCACUCUAGAGGGAGAACACUCCUAAUAAUAAAAAUCACCAUAUUACUACUAGUGUGAUUUCAGAUUAAGAAAAUAUUGAGAAAUUGGACUUUUUUCCCUCUCAACUAGCAGGUUAUUUCAAUUACUUAGUUUGUAUUUAAAGUUAGGUAAUCCCUUUUUGUUCUCCCACCCACUAAAAUGGGCCAAUUUGUAGGGACAUUUGCAAGUAAAAUUUCCUCUGUUUAAACUACUUACCUGGUUUAAUAUAACACAUUUACUUGGCCAAUAAGAGUAACAGAAAUGUAGCUGGCAUGAACACUAAUAAAAUACAAAAAACCAAAACUGAUGCUCUGUCAUCCCUCCCAACCAAUUCCCCACUCUAAUUCUUUAUCACCACCCACACACCAAUUUUAGUAAUCCCCAAAUCCAACAUUGUACUAUUAAUAACCAAUUAUUUGGAGGAAAAAGACAUUUAAUUUCAUUCUUGCUCUAGCCCUUAAUCAAUGAAUAACAACAACGAAAACAUUUUUAAGCACAUGGAAAUGAGCCUACUAACCUGAUUUUUGGAGCCAAAAUUCUCCACUCUAUUUUGAUCUAUGUGCAAAAAGUAUUGGUACUUUUCAAUUUAUACAUUUGUUAGUAUCUUGCGCUGGCUUGAUAGUACUCUCACUCAUAUAUUCUCACUCUUAAGCCUAUGUAGAGACUAUAGCAGUAUCAGAAGUUUUUAGACAACAGCUAUGGGUCAGACCAUCCUGCUAUCAGAAAAGGGAGCGAAUUUUAAAGACGACUAAGUAUGCUGGAUUCAGCUGUUACGGGGUUUCAAAGCACAAUGUGAACAUCAGGCUUUUGGCUUAUUUUAAAUGUGAAGUUCUCAAAAUUAAAAGUGCUUUUCCAUGAAGGAAACCUUUCCUUAAACUAAAAGGGGAGGGGAGAGGGAAAGACUAUCCACAGCACCAGUUGAGAAUGAGGUUCAGUAUGGCAACAUCUGAAAAACUGAGGAGGAAGAUUCUUUAAAUUUAUGUAUCCCUAUAUGUCAAAAUAUUCAGGGCAAUUAAGAGAAAGGACUAUGAGGUUUUAAACUCAGUU
rnacentral:lncRNA from 1 species